GGAUUAGAUACCCUGGUAGUCCACGCCGUAAACGAUGAUCACUAGGUGUUGCGGGUAUUGACCCCUGCAGUGCCGACGCUAACGCAUUAAGUGAUCCGCCUGGGGACUACGGCCGCAAGGCUAAAACUCAAAGGAAUUGACGGGGGCCCGCACAAGCGGUGGAGUAUGUGGUUUAAUUCGACGCAACGCGCAGAACCUUACCCGGCCUUGACAUCGAGGGAAAGCCUCUAGAAAUAGAGGCCCUCCCCUUCGGGGGACCCGAAGACAGGUGCUGCAUGGCUGUCGUCAGCUCGUGCUG
rnacentral:rRNA from 1 species